GGUCAAUACAAAAGGGCCUGCACAAGGGGAGGGAUGACUGUGGCCAUCUUCGACACAAUGUGACACAUUAAUAGUUAUUUUGCCUUAUGAAAUUAUGGAUUACUCUUAUUUUCAUCAAUUUUUUUCUGUGUUUUUCUGGUUUUCCAUAUUAGUGCAAUGCUCCCUUUAAUGGUAGAAAAAUAUAUGUCAAAACACCUGAAAGAAGUCAUGCAAGUGUCAAAUUAUACUGUGUAAGUGGAAUUCAGCAGUUGUGAUCUUUGCUCUUUAAAAUUGUAAAAUGUUUGAAAGUGAUGUCUGGGAAGAUUUCAAACCCUUGAAAGUGGUGAUCUCUGCUGUGUCUUUUAGUUUGAUCAUCCUCUUUCAAGCCUGAGAAGACAUUACCUGUGUACCUGUCACCCUUGUCUUUACACAGCCUCAGGCAAGGGAGAACACUUGCAGCCUUCUCACCUACAGGGCUGUUGGCCUUUGGAAGAUUACAGAUUACUCUGAGUACCUCCCCUUCCCCAUUCCUCCAUGCAUCUUAAUGGCACAGAUAUUAUAGAAUCAGCGCCCACAGAGAAUGAUAUUCUGGAGUUCUUGAAUAACAUCAGCAGGUGCCCUUUUCAGCUCUUCACCCAUCAAGGUGAGCCAAUGGGGACCUUUAAUUUCUACAUUUUCUCCCCAGGAGAAAGUUGGGUUCUCUAAGUGCCCGAAGCAUGUAUUCCUAGGAAUCCCUCUGGCCCUAGCUUCAUUAAACAACACAGGAAGGAAAGCCACGUAGAAACAAGUGGCUCAGUAUCCUCACAUAAGGGAGGACAAAACCAAGA
rnacentral:lncRNA from 1 species